AGCGAACGCUGGCGGCAUGCCUAACACAUGCAAGUCGAACGAGACCUUCGGGUCUAGUGGCGCACGGGUGCGUAACGCGUGGGAACCUGCCCUUAGGUUCGGAAUAACUCCCCGAAAGGGGUGCUAAUACCGGAUAAUGUCUUCGGACCAAAGAUUUAUCGCCUUUGGAUGGGCCCGCGUUGGAUUAGCUAGUUGGUAGGGUAAAAGCCUACCAAGGCGACGAUCCAUAGCUGGUCUGAGAGGAUGAUCAGCCACACUGGGACUGAGACACGGCCCAGACUCCUACGGGAGGCAGCAGUGGGGAAUAUUGGACAAUGGGCGAAAGCCUGACCCAGCAAUGCCGCGUGAGUGAUGAAGGCCUUAGGGUUGUAAAGCUCUUUUACCCGGGAUGAUAAUGACAGUACCGGGAGAAUAAGCUCCGGCUAACUCCGUG
rnacentral:rRNA from 1 species